UUCUCAGAGCUUGGAGAGGUCUGCUGGGUUGUUCUUGGAUAACGCACCUUGACAUAUUUGUUCACCCCUGUCAGAGAGACGGUCUUCAAUGAAUUGUUGAAUUUAUCCUCUGUACUAAACACUCGACCCUGUCCUCAACCUAGAACAGCCUGCUGCAGUAACCAUGGCAACUGCAGCAUCCACUGGCUGUAGAAUUUGACCAAGACAAGGAGUUCUGAGAGGACCAUGCUGAAGGAGUAGAGCUGAUCCUUCAGGC
ensembl:lncRNA